UACGGAGGUGGCAAGCGUUGCUCGGAAUCACUGGGCGUAAAGGGCGCGUAGGCGGGGAGGUAAGUCGGGUGUGAAAUCCCUCGGCCCAACUGAGGAACUGCGCCCGAGACUGCUUCUCUUGAGUCCCGGAGAGGAAGAUGGAAUUCCCGGUGUAGCGGUGAAAUGUGUAGAGAUCGGGAGGAACACCGGUGGCGAAGGCGGUCUUCUGGACGGUGACUGACGCAGAGACGCGAAAGCUAGGGGAGCGAACAGG
rnacentral:rRNA from 1 species